UACGUAGGGUGCAAGCGUUGUCCGGAAUUAUUGGGCGUAAAGAGCUCGUAGGCGGUUUGUCGCGUCGAAUGUGAAAACCCGGGGCUCAACCCCGGGCCUGCAUUCGAUACGGGCAGACUAGAGUUCGGUAGGGGAGUCUGGAAUUCCUGGUGUAGCGGUGAAAUGCGCAGAUAUCAGGAGGAACACCGGUGGCGAAGGCGGGAUCUCUGGGCCGUAACUGACGCUGAGGAGCGAAAGCAUGGGGAGCGAACAGG
rnacentral:rRNA from 1 species